CGAACAGCUGAGAGAGAAACACUGUUCACCUACGUUCCCCCUGCCGCGCGGCGGGGAAGCACCUUCUCGACAAAACUUUGUACAGAUCUUCUCCGUAAUUUGAACAAAUUUUUGAUGAGGCCGGCAUUGUCCGUCGAAAUGUUGAGAAGAAAAGAGAAAAUGUCUUGAAGUUCUUUCUCUUCUUUCUCACCACACAAUCUGCCUCGGGAAGGCCGAUAGAGACAAACGAAUAUUUUUGAUCACCACCGAGGGACAACAUCAGAUAGAGAAGAACCAUUUUCUCUAACAGUAUCUCAAGUUUUUAGUAUACCUACUUUUGAAAACGCGAAGACUCGAGUAUACAAAGACUUUUCAAAUUU